UACGGGGGGGGGCAAGCGUUGUUCGGAAUUACUGGGCGUAAAGGGCUCGUAGGUGGCCAACUAAGUCAGACGUGAAAUCCCCAGGCUCAACUUGGGAACUGCGUCUGAUACUGGAUGGCUUGAAUUCGGGAGAGGGAUGCAGAAUUCCAGGUGUAGCGGUGAAAUGCGUAGAUAUCUGGAGGAACACCGGUGGCGAAGGCGGCGUUCUGGACUGUUUCUGACACUGUAAAACGAAAGCCAGGGGAGCAAACGGG
rnacentral:rRNA from 1 species